ensembl:lncRNA
GCUAAACUUUGCUAGAUCCGCCCCUGCACAGUUACCAGCCGUCAGCUACAUAGAAAAGGAUCCUGGUCUAGAAAGUAAUAUUCAAUAAAUUCUAACAACAGCUUAUCAAGCUUAAACGUGCUGCUGUUGUUCAGCCGCUGGUUUCCUCUUUCUGGUGCAAAGUGGGCCAAAAACAAAGAAGAGAGACGGACUCGCGACAGAAAAGCCGAUCAGCUGAUCAUUAAGCAGUUUCAUGAAGUAGCGGCAGGAGAGAGAGAGGCAGUCGCUCCAUAUAUCGGUUGUUAAGCUUAAGACCUGAAAAUGAUCACAGCUGAAUCUGGACAGGACGUCACUCUGACAUGUCGAGCUCCAGACAACAACAUCAAUACUUUAGAGUGGAGCAGAGCUGACCUGGGAGAUAAGAAUGUCUAUUUGUACCAGAAUGGCCACUUCGAACCAGAUCACCAGCAUCCAUCUGUUAGGAACCGGGUGGAUCUGCAGAACAGAGAGAUGAUGGAUGGAGACGCGUCUUUGAUUCUGAAGGAUGUGAUGAUUGGUGACACUGGAACAUACGAGUGUCGUGUCAACAUGGAAGGAAAAAACCGCAAGGACGCUAAACCCGUCAGUGUCUUCUACCUCCAUGUUGAUCCCCCAGGAGCACACAAAGAAAUUGAACCUGUUAAAACUGACCCUCCACGUGUUGAUCCUCCAGCUCAGACAGGAGGAUCUGGUGGACUGAAAGCUGGUCUGGUAGUUCCUGCUGUGCUUCUUGUUGCUACUGUUGUUGGUUUUUGAAAAGAAACACCAACAACAGCAGCAACAAGAAGAAAACAGUCUCGAGGUUCAAAUGAGCGUUCUGGUGAACAACAGAGCGGACAACCUCUUCAGACUUAAGAUCAUCAACCAAUAAACAUCAUAGACGUCAAACACUCAGAGUUUGGAUUUCUUUCUCAUUUCUCUGAUGAUCAUCAUGUUUAGACUCAGACCAACAGUGUGUGUCUGUGCUGUCUGUCAGUGACCCUGAACUACAGUUUAUUCAUCUUCAUGUUGUUCAUGAGAUUUACUGACACAAAGUCAAACUGUGUUACAAACAUAAAUGAAUUUAUAUGAUAUUAUCUCAGAAUAUAUGCAUGUUUUGUUUUUUAGCUUCAUGUUCAGUGGCUGGUUGUAAGAAAAACUAAAGAUCAGCUGUUACAGUAUAAUUGUUGUUCUGUGAAUUAUAGACUAUUAAUAAUCUGGCUCAUUGUUCAGCUACAACCACUUUGUUUGACAUUACUUAUUAUUCUCUUUUUGUAUAAAAUUUUGAAUUUUACAGCUUACGGAGCAAAAUUGUGUAAAAGUAAAAAUUUGUGUAGUUACAGACUCAUAUUUCUUCUCUGAUCCUGAACCUUUCUAACCCCUUUCAUUUAACAUUUCCUCCAGUGAAUCUUUGUAAAUCCAAAUUUCUUCAUCUAUGUUAAUAAAGAUUUACAUUUAUACCUGCUCAAGGUUUUCCAGUGUUUCUGUCAUUUGAAGGUUUUGAUUUAAUUUCUGUUUAUUAUUUUGUUACAAACUUGUCAUCAAUUAGCGAGACAGAAGCUAAGCUCGUUGCAACAUGGCAACUGCCUCAACGCGACAUGAAAUUGAACCUCCCCCACCCUCAUUCAGAUCUGGCAUUUGGAACUAUCUUGGUUUUCAUGUGAAGCAUGACCCUGAUGGUAAGCGCGUCAUGGACAAAAGUAAAACAGUAUGUUGGAUGUGCCACGCAAUGCUCAAUUUGUGGGAACUAGUGCGUUAGCGCAGUUAGCUUGUUAACGUGUUAAUGCCGUCCAGCCCCACGCACGGGGCGAUCUGCGGUAACUUGUUAAGGGAGAUUUACCGCGUUAUGGCGUUAAUGUCAUUUUAACGAGAUUAACGCUGACAGCACUAGUGGGAACACAAUGAAUAUGACUGCACAUUUACGCCGACAUCAUCCUAGUGCAAAGACAAGUGGAAGCAGACAAAAACAACAAGCAUGCAUGCUACAAACUUUACCCGAGUCAUUUAGACAGCCGUCAGCACAUGAUUCUCCUUAUGGGGACCUGAUAUGUUUAAUAUGCUGCUGAGAAUAUACCCCAGAAGAAGCGUAUAGUAUAGCUUUUAUUUUGGAAAGAGCCAUUUCUCUGUAAUAAACUCUCUUUUCCAAAGAUGAGUGACUUCUCG